GACAGGCAGGGCAGGCACAGGGGCCCACAUCCAAACAAGGUGCCCUAGAAGAGCAAUGUGGAAGGAAAGGCCAGGGCAGAGAUGGGACAUAACAGCACCUGCCACACACAGUGACUGUGCAGAAUGAGAGGAGAGAGGGAAGGCAGGUCAGGGCCUGGUCCCUUUGUAGGUGGAGGGUGCUCACUGAGGAGCAGCCAGGUGCAUGGGUUGCCCACUUGUGCUCAGGAAACCUCACCCACCUCAGCCCUUAUUAGGCACCUAAUGUGGAUUCUAAGACAGACACUGAAACAAAGCUGCCCCUGGGGAAGACGACAUGUAUCCAAAUGGGGAGACAGACUAGAUGGCUGAUCAAGAAGGAGACAGAUGCCAUCUGGGGAGGGACAGGCAUAAGCCACUUUCUGGUGCUUGGAGUUAGUGAGGAAGGGCUGAGUGAAAAUGCCA
rnacentral:lncRNA from 10 species